UCAGAGUGAACACUUCUACAAUGCAUCUUCAUUCAGUUAUUCUGUUCUGUGUCUCAACCGCUGCUGUCUUUGCAAAUGACAUCAAACCAAACAAAACGAUUGUUUUUGCUGAGGAGGGUUCAAGUGUUACAUUAUCCUGUAGUUUUUCUGAUUCUAGCAAUACAGAUUACCUCCACUGGUACCGUCAGUAUGGAAGAUCAAAACCUGAAUUUCUUGUACUCACCAUCGACUCUGCAAACAAAGCUCAGCCGUCUGUUGUAGAUCCAAGAUUCACUGUUAAUAUUACAAAAAAGGAACAAGUGGAUCUGAAGAUCUCCUCUGCUGCUGUAUCAGACUCUGCUCUGUACUACUGUGCUCUGCAGCCCACAGUGACAGGAAACACAUCAGCUCUCUACAAAAACCUGUUACAAUGAGAGACAAGAGUGAGAGAAAUUAUGGAAAGAAGCUAGAUAUACAAAUAUUUAAGUAAUGUAAGUGCACAAAGGAUCAAAACAUAAAACAAAGCAACAUUCUAAAGUGGGACAA